CUUUCUACAUUUUCAACUUGGAGAUGGAGUUGAACGAGACUGCGGGCAUAAUAUUCCUUUUUGUAAUCAAAAGCUAGUUUUGGUGGUAGGUACAGAAAAAGUUUUAAGUUGGCUGAUAAAACCAUUUCAAGUCCCCAUUAUUUUUAAACCAAGUCCAGUUGGCCUUAACAAUUACUUAUCUCUUCAAAACUAACUAGUCAUGGAUGAGAAUUUGGAGCUGAGGUUUAUUGCAGAACGCGACGAAGAAGAAGAGAAAAAUGAUCUGAAGAAAAGAGUUUGGGUUGAAACAAAGAAAAUAUGGAGGAUUGCUUUCCCUUCAAUGUUGGCUAGAGUCACUAGCUUUGGAAUGAUUAUUGUCACACAAUCGUUUCUCGGUCACAUUGGGAGAGCCGAGCUUGCCACUUUUGCACUCAUUCAAAGCAUUUUCGUAAGGUUUAUCAAUGGUAUUCUGAUAGGGAUGUCGAGUGCGACUGAAACACUAUGCGGGCAAGCAUUUGGAGCAGAGCAAUACCAUAUGAUGGGGAUAUACCUGCAACGAUCCUGGAUUGUGGAUGGCCUUAUGGCGACGGUAUCAGUCCCACUAUUGGUUUUCGCUUCACCCAUCUUCAAACUACUCGGGCAGGAAGAGGAGAUUGCGGAAGCAGCUGGGAGUAUAUCUCUGUGGUUUAUCCCAAUGCUUUACCAGAUGGUGUUUCAACUAACCAUGCAAAUGUACCUGCAAGCUCAGCUCAAAAACUUUAUUGUUGGAUGGCUAAGUGCUUUUUCAUUUGCUCUUCACUUGUUAUUGUCAUGGGUCAUGGUUUACAAGCUAAACUGGGGUGUUGCUGGGGCAAUGGGUUCCUUGAAUAUAUGUUGUUGGAUUAUGGUUGUAGGGGAGUUUGUGUUCAUCUUUGGAGGUUGGUGCCCCAAUACAUGGAAAGGAUUCUCCAAGGCUGCCUUGUUUGAUUUAUGGCCUAUAAUAAAACUGUCCAUGGCCUCUGGCCUCAUGAUUUGCUUAGAGUUGUGGUACACUGCCAUUCUUGUGUUGCUUGCUGGAUAUAUGAAAAAUGCAACCAUUGCCAUUGGUGCAUUCUCCAUCUGCCUCAAUUUCAAUGCAUGGGAAUUUAUGAUCUGCCUAGGCUUAUUUGGUGCAGCAAUAGUUCGGGUUGCCAACGAAUUAGGAAGAGGAAAUGCAAAAGCAUUGAAAUUUGCAAUAAAAACAAUAAUGAGUGAAUCAAUAUGCAUUGGAAUGGUAUUCUUUAUAUUGUGUUUAGGGUGUUGGCAUCAAAUUUCCUACUUGUUUACAAGCGAUGAACAAGUUGCACAAGUCAUAUCAUCUCUCUCAGAUCUUCUUGCCCUCUCAGUCUUGUUCAAUAGCUUUCAAGCAAUAUUAACUGGAGAUAGUUGAAAGAAGAAUUCUUGAUGUCCAAUCUACUACAUUGGAGGGGAAUUCAUUCUAUAAAAGAAACUGAAAAUCAAGUUCUUCUCAAAGUAGUUGAACAGGAAAGACCUAGACAAGUUUGUCAUGUCAAGUCAGUUCUGCCAAGCUAGCUCGGGGAUCAGAAGCUAUUAGAGUAUUCGAUCACAUUAUCAAAAGAUUAUUGGGUAUAUUGAAAUUGUUAUUUUGAGUAUGGCAUGUACAGGGGACUUGGUUAUUUUGUGAUAUGUGUCACGCUAUUUGGCCAAAUUGUGAAGGCUUAUGAUAUUGAUGAUUCAUUUUGUAAUGGCAUGUGAUAUGGCUUAUAUUUGAUCAUUGGGCUGUAAUCUAAUUACCCAUGCAUGCAUGUGUUAGUGCAUUGAUGAUGUGAUAUGUUAUUGCUUGGUGAAUGUAUGAAAGAGUAUGUAUUAGAUGCCAAAAGAUAAGGGAUGACUUAAUGGAUCAAAA